AGUUCCGAGGUGUUUUCAUGUCAGAUUGCAAAUCUGAAGGUGUAGGCUAGGCCCCUACCGGAUCUU
rnacentral:tRNA from 1 species